AGCAGCCGCGGUAAUUCCAGCUCCAAUAGCGUAUAUUAAAGUUGUUGCAGUUAAAAAGCUCGUAGUUGAAUUUCGGGGUUAGUAGGUCGGUCAUGCCACUGGUAUGUACUGGUCUCACUGAUUCCUCCUUCCUGAUGAACCGUAGUGCCAUUAAUUUGGUGUUGCGGGGAGACUGGACUGUUACUUUGAAAAAAUUAGAGUGUUUAAAGCAGGCUCGCGCUUGAAUACAUUAGCAUGGAAUAAUGAAAUAGGACGUUUGAUUCUAUUUUGUUGGUUUCUAGGAUCGACGUAAUGAUUAAUAGGGAUAGUUGGGGGCAUUAGUAUUCAAUUGUCAGAGGUGAAAUUCUUGGAUUUAUUGAAGACUAACUACUGCGAAAGCAUUUGCCAAGGAUGUUUUCAUUAAUCAAGAACGAAAGUUAGGGGAUCGAAGACGAUCAGAUACCGUCGUAG
rnacentral:rRNA from 1 species